UACGUAGGGGGCGAGCGUUGUCCGGAGUUACUGGGCGUAAAGCGCACGCAGGCGGUCGUGUAAGUUUGGAGUGACAAUCCUCGGCUUAACUGAGGAGGGCCUUUGAAGACUGCACGACUUGAGGGCUCACGAGGGACACGGAAUUCCGGGUGGAGUGGUGAAAUGCGUAGAGAUCCGGAGGAACACCAAAGGCGAAGGCAGUGUCCUGGUGAGCACCUGACGCUGAGGUGCGAAAGCUAGGGGAGCGAACGG
rnacentral:rRNA from 1 species